rnacentral:rRNA from 1 species
GACGAACGCUGGCGGCGUGCUUAACACAUGCAAGUCGAACGGAAAGGCCUGCUUUCCCUUGUGGAUUGCGGGUACUCGAGUGGCGAACGGGUGAGUAACACGUGAGUGAUCUGCCCCCAACUUGGGUAUAAGCCUGGGAAACUGGGUCUAAUUCCCGAUAGGACUGCAGGGUGGUGCCUGUGGUGGAAAACGAUUUUCUAGUGGUUGGGGAUGAGCUCGCGGCCUAUCAGCUUGUUGGUGGGGUAAUGGCCUACCAAGGCGGCGACGGGUAGCCGGCCUGAGAGGGUGGACGGCCACAGUGGGGCUGAGAUACGGCCCAGACUCCUACGGGAGGCAGCAGUGGGGAAUAUUGCACAAUGGGCGGAAGCCUGAUGCAGCGACGCCGCGUGGGGGAUGACGGCCUUCGGGUUGUAAACUCCUUUCGACCGCGAGGAAGCCACCUGGUUGGAAGGGUGGUGACGGUAGUGGUAGAAGAAGCACCGGCUAACUACGUG